GACGAACGCUGGCGGCGUGCCUAAUACAUGCAAGUAGAACGCUGAAGAGAGGAGCUUGCUCUUCUUGGAUGAGUUGCGAACGGGUGAGUAACGCGUAGGUAACCUGCCUGGUAGCGGGGGAUAACUAUUGGAAACGAUAGCUAAUACCGCAUAAAAUUGAUUAUUGCAUGAUAAUUAAUUGAAAGAUGCAAUUGCAUCACUACCAGAUGGACCUGCGUUGUAUUAGCUAGUUGGUGAGGUAACGGCUCACCAAGGCGACGAUACAUAGCCGACCUGAGAGGGUGAUCGGCCACACUGGGAUUGAGACACGGCCCAGACUCCUACGGGAGGCAGCAGUAGGGAAUCUUCGGCAAUGGGGGGAACCCUGACCGAGCAACGCCGCGUGAGUGAAGAAGGUUUUCGGAUCGUAAAGCUCUGUUGUAAGAGAAGAACGGGUGUGAGAGUGGAAAGUUCACACUGUGACGGUAUCUUACCAGAAAGGGACGGCUAACUACGUGCCAGCAGCCGCGGUAAUACGUAGGUCCCGAGCGUUGUCCGGAUUUAUUGGGCGUAAAGCGAGCGCAGGCGGUUAGAUAAGUCUGAAGUUAAGGCUGUGGCUUAACCAUAGUAUGCUUUGGAAACUGUUUAACUUGAGUGCAGAAGGGGAGAGUGGAAUUCCAUGUGUAGCGGUGAAAUGCGUAGAUAUAUGGAGGAACACCGGUGGCGAAAGCGGCUCUCUGGUCUGUAACUGACGCUGAGGCUCGAAAGCGUGGGGAGCAAACAGGAUUAGAUACCCUGGUAGUCCACGCCGUAAACGAUGAGUGCUAGGUGUUAGGCCCUUUCCGGGGCUUAGUGCCGCAGCUAACGCAUUAAGCACUCCGCCUGGGGAGUACGACCGCAAGGUUGAAACUCAAAGGAAUUGACGGGGGCCCGCACAAGCGGUGGAGCAUGUGGUUUAAUUCGAAGCAACGCGAAGAACCUUACCAGGUCUUGACAUCCCUCUGACCGCUCUAGAGAUAGAGUUUUCCUUCGGGACAGAGGUGACAGGUGGUGCAUGGUUGUCGUCAGCUCGUGUCGUGAGAUGUUGGGUUAAGUCCCGCAACGAGCGCAACCCCUAUUGUUAGUUGCCAUCAUUCAGUUGGGCACUCUAGCGAGACUGCCGGUAAUAAACCGGAGGAAGGUGGGGAUGACGUCAAAUCAUCAUGCCCCUUAUGACCUGGGCUACACACGUGCUACAAUGGCUGGUACAACGAGUCGCAAGCCGGUGACGGCAAGCUAAUCUCUGAAAGCCAGUCUCAGUUCGGAUUGUAGGCUGCAACUCGCCUACAUGAAGUCGGAAUCGCUAGUAAUCGCGGAUCAGCACGCCGCGGUGAAUACGUUCCCGGGCCU
rnacentral:rRNA from 1 species